UCUCUCUCUCGAGGUUCUUUUCAGCCUCUCUCACAUUGCUCGCAUAGUGUUAAAUAUCUCAAACUGAGAUUAACUUCUACCCAAACCCUAAUUAUGUGAACCCUCUCAUUCUAGUCGUUCUCUCUACCAUUCUAAGCAGCCAUGGGCAUCCCUACGUUGCUCCGAUCUCGACAUCGUGACCUAGCUUCAGCCUCGCUUUGUGCCUACUGAUCUAGAAAAUGGAAUCGAUAUGGGUGAUGUCAUGAUAUUUCAGUUGCUGGACUUGGAUCCAGUGACCUCAAGGAUUGAAUAUCAUUGCACAACAGCUGGUACAUCCUAAUCUAGUUCAUAGUCUAUUUAGCAAAGUUUAUGAUGAUGAUGAGCUAAACUGGUUUCAAACUCUCCUAAGAAACUUGUCUGUUAGUUGGUUGAAUGAUAAAGCUAGUCAAGAAGACUCUGUUUUAAUUUAGAAUCUAACAGGAUUGUGCUAAGAAUUGGGGACUAAACUAAUUUGUAUGGUUGUGUUGUAUGCAAAAAAAAAUCCCAAAUUGCUUUUGAAACUGAUGAUGUAUACAGAAGUGCUUGCUGCUCAGCUUUUUCUAGACCGAGAUGGUUGGAAAACUGAGCAUGUCUAUCUGGCUCUGAUGAUGUAGAUUUGAACCAUCCCAAUCAUAAAGUUUCUGAGGCAACAAGAACCAAUUAUCAAAACUUAUAUUCCUUCUCCAGCUGUUUUGGAGGAUAUAUUUCUAGAUAACGUUUUUUUAGCUUCUCCUUUUUUUCUCCAUAUCGAAAAGGCUCCAAUGGCCUUGAUUUUUUCUAUAUUGGAAGGGCUCCAAUGGCCAUUUUGAAAAGGCUCCAAUAGCCUUGAUUUUUA